ACCGAGUGACCUAUCCAUGUCCAGGCUGAAGUGGAGGUAAAGCUCCAUGGAGGGCCGAACGCACGCCCGUUGAAAAGGUCGGCGAUGAGAUGUGGAUAGCGGAGAAAUUCCAAACGAACUCGGAUAUAGCUGGUUCUCUCCGAAAUAGCUUUAGGGCUAGCCUCAUGACAGAUUACCGGAGGUAAAGCACUGAUUGAGCUAGGGGGCGAAAGCCUACCGACCUCUCUCAAACUCUGAAUACCGGCUAAUCGAUUCAUGGGAGUCAGACAGUGUGUUAUAAAGCUCAUUGUCAAAAGGGAAACAGCCCAGACCCACAGCUAAGGUCCCAAAAUACUGUUAAGUGGAAAAGGAUGUGGAAUUGCGUAAACAACCAGGAUGUUGGCUUAGAAGCAGCCACUCAUUAAAAGAGUGCGUAAUAGCUCACUGGUCGAGUGAUCCUGCGCCGAUAAUUUAACGGGGCUAAACAGUAUACCGAAGCUUGGGCUUCUGCUUAUGCAGAGGGGUAGGAGAGCGUCGAAUAAGGGGUGAAGUCAGAGCGGAAGCGCUGGUGGACUUUAUUCGAGUGAGAAUGCCGGAAUGAGUAGCGAGAAUUAUGUGAGAAUCAUAAUGGCCGAAAGUCUAAGGUUUUAGGAGGAAGGUUCGUCCGCUCCUAGUUAGCCGGAAGCUAAGACGAGGCGGAAACGCGUAGCCGAUGCACAUACGGUAGACAUUCCGUAGCCGCGAAAACACUUAAAUCAAGGGACGCAUUCAAAGGGACUGACCGGAGAUUGGUUGAUCCGAAUCAGUUUUUGAGGAUGACAAGAAAAGCUUGAUGUAUGUGUUGAGCGUCCGUACCGCAAACCGACACAGGUAGAUAGGAAGAGGAUUCCAAGGCCAGCGAGAGAAGGGUUGUUAAGGAACUCGGCAAGUUGACCCCGUAACUUCGGAAUAAGGGGUACUCAAGAGAUUGAGUCGCAGUGAAUAGGUCCAGGCAACUGUUUAUCAAAAACACAGGUCUCUGCUAAAUCGAAAGAUGACGUAUAGGGGCUGACGCCUGCCCGGUGCCGGAAGGUUAAGAGGAGGAGUGAGAGCUCUGAAUUGAAGCCCCGGUAAACGGCGGCCGUAACUAUAACGGUCCUAAGGUAGCGAAAUUCCUUGUCAGGUAAGUUCUGACCCGCACGAAUGGCGUAAUGAUCUGGGCACUGUCUCGACAGCCCUCUCGGCGAAAUUGUAGUACCGGUGAAGAUGCCGGUUACCCGCGACUAGACGGAAAGACCCCAUGGAGCUUUACUGUAGCCUAAUAUUGAAUUUCGGUAUUUCAUGUACAGGAUAGGUGGGAGACUGGGAAACAUCGGCGUCAGCCGGUGCGGAGUCAACCUUGGGAUACCACUCUUGAAGUGCUGGAGUUCUAACCUGCGGCCGUGAAUCCGGUCGGGGAACAUUGUUAGGUGGGCAGUUUGACUGGGGCGGUCGCCUCCA
rnacentral:rRNA from 1 species